rnacentral:rRNA from 1 species
UACGUAGGGUGCGAGCGUUAAUCGGAAUUACUGGGCGUAAAGCGUGCGCAGGCGGUUUUGUAAGCCAGAUGUGAAAGCCCCGGGCUUAACCUGGGAAUGGCAUUUGGGACUGCAAGGCUUGAGUGCGGCAGAGGAGACUGGAAUUCCUGGUGUAGCAGUGAAAUGCGUAGAUAUCAGGAGGAACACCGGUGGUGUAGACGGCUCACUGGACCGUAACUGACGCUGAGACACGAAAGCGUGGGUAGCAAACAGG